GCGGGGGUUCCCUAGUUUGGCCAAAUUAUAUUGGCUAAAGACAAACCUGCGUGGGUUCAAAUCCCACCCCCCGCA
rnacentral:tRNA from 1 species